rnacentral:piRNA from 1 species
UACACCCAGAACUAAAUUCAG